rnacentral:sRNA from 1 species
AAGUAUCACAAGGCCGCAGUUCACAGAAGUACCACGACAUAAAUUGGUCUUCACUUGGUGGAAGAGAGCAAAUGCACAUCCCUGUGUGCACCCCCACCUGGUUCCUCUCCUCACUUGCUGUGUGCCCGAGCGCAUGUGGGAAGCGAGCGUGCACCGAGAACAACGAGUGCUGUCACCCCGAGUGCCUGGGCAGCUGCAGCGCGCCUGACAACGACACGGCCUGCGUAGCUUGCCGCCACUACUACUACGCCGGUGUCUGCGUGCCUGCCUGCCCGCCCAACACCUACAGGUUUGAGGGCUGGCGCUGUGUGGACCGUGACUUCUGCGCCAACAUCCUCAGCGCCGAGAGCAGCGACUCCGAGGGGUUUGUGAUCCACGACGGCGAGUGCAUGCAGGAGUGCCCCUCGGGCUUCAUCCGCAACGGCAGCCAGAGCAUGUACUGCAUCCCAUGUGAAGGUCCUUGCCCCAAGGUCUGUGAGGAAGAAAAGAAAACAAAGACCAUUGAUUCUGUUACUUCUGCUCAGAU